UUGAACGCUGGCGGAAUGCUUACACAUGCAAGUCGAACGGUAGAGGGGGGCAACCCCUUGAGAGUGGCGAACGGGUGAGUAAUAUAUCGGAACGUGCCCAGUCGUGGGGGAUAACGUAGCGAAAGCUACGCUAAUACCGCAUACGAUCUAUGGAUGAAAGCGGGGGAUCGCAAGACCUCGCGCGAUUGGAGCGGCCGAUAUCAGAUUAGGUAGUUGGUGAGGUAAAGGCUCACCAAGCCGACGAUCUGUAGCUGGUCUGAGAGGACGACCAGCCACACUGGGACUGAGACACGGCCCAGACUCCUACGGGAGGCAGCAGUGGGGAAUUUUGGACGAAUGGGCGCAAGCCUGAUCCAGCAAUGCCGCGUGCAGGAUGAAGGCCUUCGGGUUGUAAACUGCUUUUGUACGGAACGAAACGGUGAGCUCUAAUACAGUUUGCUAAUGACGGUACCGUAAGAAUAAGCACCGGCUAACUACGUG
rnacentral:rRNA from 1 species